GAGGAAACAACCCCCCCUUUUUUGAAGAAGGCUUUCGGGUUCUAAAACCCUUGUUGUAGGGGAAGAACAGCUAGAAUAGGAAAUGAUUUUAGUUUGACGGUACCAUCCCAGAAAGGGACGGCUAAAUACGUGCCAGCAGCCGCGGUAAUACGUAUGUCCCGAGCGUUAUCCGGAUUUAUUGGGCGUAAAGCGAGCGCAGACGGUUUAUUAAGUCUGAUGUGAAAGCCCGGAGCUCAACUCCGGAAUGGCAUUGGAAACUGGUUAACUUGAGUGCAGUAGAGGUAAGUGGAACUCCAUGUGUAGCGGUGGAAUGCGUAGAUAUAUGGAAGAACACCAGUGGCGAAGGCGGCUUACUGGACUGCAACUGACGUUGAGGCUCGAAAGUGUGGGUAGCAAACAGGAUUAGAUACCCUGGUAGUCCACACCGUAAACGAUGAACACUAGGUGUUAGGAGGUUUCCGCCUCUUAGUGCCGAAGCUAACGCAUUAAGUGUUCCGCCUGGGGAGUACGACCGCAAGGUUGAAACUCAAAGGAAUUGACGGGGACCCGCACAAGCGGUGGAGCAUGUGGUUUAAUUCGAAGCAACGCGAAGAACCUUACCAGGUCUUGACAUCCUUUGAAGCUUUUAGAGAUAGAAGUGUUCUCUUCGGAGACAAAGUGACAGGUGGUGCAUGGUCGUCGUCAGCUCGUGUCGUGAGAUGUUGGGUUAAGUCCCGCAACGAGCGCAACCCUUAUUGUUAGUUGCCAGCAUUCAGAUGGGCACUCUAGCGAGACUGCCGGUGACAAACCGGAGGAAGGCGGGGACGACGUCAGAUCAUCAUGCCCCUUAUGACCUGGGCUACACACGUGCUACAAUGGCGUAUACAACGAGUUGCCAGCCCGCGAGGGUGAGCUAAUCUCUUAAAGUACGUCUCAGUUCGGAUUGUAGUCUGCAACUCGACUACAUGAAGUCGGAAUCGCUAGUAAUCGCGGAUCAGCACGCCGCGGUGAAUACGUUCCCGGGUCUUGUACACACCGCCCGUCACACCAUGGGAGUUUGUAAUGCCCAAAGCCGGUGGCCUAACCUUUAGGAAGGAGCCGUCUAAGCAGACAGAGCCUAU
rnacentral:rRNA from 1 species